UACGGAGGGAGCUAGCGUUAUUCGGAAUUACUGGGCGUAAAGCGCACGUAGGCGGCUUUGUAAGUUAGAGGUGAAAGCCUGGAGCUCAACUCCAGAAUUGCCUUUGAUACUGCAUGGCUUGAAUCCAGGAGAGGUGAGUGGAAGUUCCGAGUGUAGAGGUGAAAUUCGUAGAUAUUCGGAAGAACACCAGUGGCGAAGGCGGCUCACUGGACUGGGUAUUG
rnacentral:rRNA from 1 species